rnacentral:rRNA from 1 species
AAUCAACGCUGGCGGCGUGCCUCAGACAUGCAAGUCGAACGCGAAAGUUCCCUUCGGGGAAUGAUUAGAGUGGCGUCCGGGUGAGUAACACGUGGGUAAUCUACCUUCGGGUGGGGAAUAACAGUCGGAAACGACUGCUAAUACCGCAUAAUGCAGCGGCACCUAAUGGUGACAGUUGUUAAAGCGGGGGAUCGCAAGACCUCGCGCCUGAAGAGGAGCCCGCGGCGGAUUAGCAGUUGGUAGGGUAACGGCCUACCAAGGCUUCGAUCCGUAGCCGGCCUGAGAGGGCGGUCGGCCACACUGGCACUGACAUACGGGCCAGACUCCUACGGGAGGCAGCAGUCGGGAAUUUUGGGCAAUGGGCGAAAGCCUGACCCAGCAACGCCGCGUGAAGGAU